rnacentral:rRNA from 1 species
AACGAACGCUGGCGGCAUGCCUAACACAUGCAAGUCGAACGCCCCGCAAGGGGAGUGGCAGACGGGUGAGUAACGCGUGGGAAUCUACCCAGAUCUACGGAACAACAGUUGGAAACGACUGCUAAUACCGUAUACGCCCUACGGGGGAAAGAUUUAUCGGAUAUGGAUGAGCCCGCGUUGGAUUAGCUAGUUGGUGGGGUAAUGGCCUACCAAGGCGACGAUCCAUAGCUGGUCUGAGAGGAUGAUCAGCCACACCGGGACUGAGACACGGCCCAGACUCCUACGGGAGGCAGCAGUGGGGAAUAUUGGACAAUGGGCGCAAGCCUGAUCCAGCCAUGCCGCGUGAGUGAUGAAGGCCUUAGGGUUGUAAAGCUCUUUCACCGAUGAAGAUAAUGACGGUAGUCGGAGAAGAAGCCCCGGCUAACUUCGUGCCAGCAGCCGCAGUAACAC